GGUACCAGUCCAUUAUUUGGAGGCCUUCAAGUCUCCCGCAUGAACCAGGUCCAGUCCGCUUAGUUUUAAGACUGGGCUCCAGUUAGCUUCCUCAAUCAAGCCGACCCAGUCCAUACGACCCAUUAAAUAGGUCCUAUCUGGGCUCAGCUUUAAUCCUAUCUUCAGGCCCAGCUCGGAAUCAGGAAGGGGAUCAACCCAUCUGUCUUGUGGGUCCAUCCGCAUGCACGCCCGGGGGGAAUCAGAGGCAGUUAUGCAUGGAGUAGGGAUCUGAUAUUCUCGUACGUCCGUAUCAACAUGGCAGGGACAGGUGGCCCAAUGACAGACAGUUUGUUAUACGUCACUAGCGGACAAAAGAAAACAGAUAAAAGGAGGAUUGCCCUCCUCUAGACCUAAGCUUUUUUCUAAGUUUACAGAACUCUUGUAAAACCCUAUUUUCUGGAUCUCAGAUCAUCAAUUGGCGCCGUCAAUGGGAAAAACGAAGGAGAUCUUUUCAUCGCCGGAGUUUCACUCUUAUAAUACCCACUGAGAUCCACGAUGGCUAACCACAACGAAAACAAUCUUGUCAACAUCCCUAAUGACCUGAGCUCCGCUCAGGAGGGACAACAGUUCUCUUUUUCCAGUCCCACAACCCCAAACAACCAAACACCAAUUCCCUUCAACCCUUCGCCAAGCUUGGCAGGGAACGUGCCUGGUCCUGCUCUAUCCAACCAGGACCUUCAAACCAUGGCCCUCCAACUACAAAAUACCGCUCACUGGCUGGGGCAGAUGAUGCAACAACGAGGCCUCAGUACCCCAAUAAAUGUGUUGUCGGUGGUAGAAGAGCCCCGGACCAAUGAACCUCAGCCUACCUUCAACCAUCUCCAAACCGUCAGCCGAGAAACCGGAGACGGAGGGAGAAGAGCCGGAGAAGAGGAAGAGCUGAAAGCUCGAGUUCAUGGAAGGAGGGUGAGGGAAAUGAUUCAGAAUGAUGAGGCCGACAGUUAUUCUGCCGGCAUAACCAAGCGAACGAGAAGCGAAGCGGAGGAAGAGGAGUACCGCCGGGAGAGGAAACCCAGGCAAGAGGAGGAGAGUGUAGACCGAAAGCUGCAAAAGAUGAGAAAACAGCUCUUGGCCGAGUUGGGAACGAAGGAUCAGAAUCAAACUUUCAUGCCCACCUCUUCACCCUUCUCGACAUGGGUGCAGCAGGAGAUCGUUCCCAAAAAACUUAUGAUGCCGCCUAUAGCCGCAUAUGACGGAGCUGGGAACUCCUGGGAGCACGUCUUGAACUACAAAACUUUCAUGGAACUGCAGACUUUAUCAGAUGCCUUGAUGUGCAAGGUGUUCCCAACAACGCUCUCGGGGCCAGCACGGGCAUGGUUUAACAGCCUUGAGACCGGAAGCAUCAGAAGCUUUGGAGAUCUGGCCACUCGCUUCAUCAGCCGGUUCAUUGCCGGGGUGCCUGUAGACAGAAAGACAAGUUAUCUGGAAACAGUCAGGCAGAGAAGGGAUGAAUCGCUCAGGGAAUACGUUGCUCGUUUCAAUACGGAGGCCUUGCAGAUUCCCGAACUAGAUGAGAGCAGAGCGGCGGAGGCAAUGCAGAAAGGGAUGACCUCGCCCGAGUUCUUCGGUUCAUUGAGCAGGAAGCCUCCCACCUCACUAGCGGAGCUAAUAAAGAGGGUAGAAAAGUACAUCAGGUAGGAUGAUGCCUUGGUGACGAGCAGGUUUGCCAGAGGAGCGGUAGAUAAGGGAAAAGCCUCGGAGGAGAGAAGGCCGGAAAGGCAGGAGAGAAGGCCGGAAAGGCAGGAGAAGAAGCAAGGCAGAAGAUCUGAAACCUACAGACAGCCCUGGGAGUGAAGGGACCAAAGACCUCCCCUUCUUAGGAUUCCUGAACAGAAAUCACUUCCGCCGUUGGUUCCAGAGAAGCCGACUCCACUCAAUGCCUCCAGAGCCGAAGUACUCAUGGCCGUCCAAGACAAGGAGUUCUUACAAUGGCCUAGACCUAUGAGAAUGGAAGCAGACCAGCGAGAUCCUGACAAAUACUGUCAGUAUCAUCGCACAUAUGGCCACGACACCAAUAACUGCUUCCAGUUGAUUACUGAGAUCGAGAGGCUGAUAAAGAGGGGACACCUCAAGAACUUUGUGAAGAAACCGGAGGGAUAAAGGCCUCAGCCGAACCCAGCAGCGCAAACACUUAGGAGAAUGGGAGCGGGGCCAGUGAAUGAUGGGUUCAGUGGGACCAUCAACAUGAUCGUUGGAGAAACAGGAGGUCGAAUGAGCCGGUGAAGCAGAAGAAAAGGGUGGAAGCAAGGGAAAAGUAACAGGCCACCAGGGAGGAGGUAUGAAAGCUAGAGGAGGCCGGGUUUAUUAGGGAAGUGAUGUAGCUACAAUGGUUAGCAAAUCCUGUAUUAGUCAAGAAAGCCAAUGGCAAAUAUAGGAUGUGUAUAGACUUCAUUGACCUAAAUCAAGCAUGUCCUAAGGAUUGUUACCCCCUCCCUGACAUUAAUAAAAUGGUCGACUCUACGGCCGGUUUUGAUUACAUGUCUUCUUUGGAUGAUAUGUUUGGUUAUCACCAAAUUCCAAUGGACAGGUCGGAUGAAGGAAAGACCUCGUUCAUAACAGAAGAUGGGACUUAUUGUUAUAAAGCCAUGCCCUUCGGGCUGAAGAACAUCGGGGCGACAUACCAAAGACGGAUGAACAAAUUCUUCAAAAGUCAGAUCGGCAGGAACGUAGAAGUUUAUGUAGAUGAUAUGGUGGUCAAAAGCCCAACUUUCCAACAGCACAUGGUAGAUCUAAGGGAGGCAUUCGAGGUGCUAGAACAGUACAGAAUGAGGUUGAACCCAGCAAAAUGUGCCUUCUUCAUCAAGGGAGGAAAAUUCCUGGGAUACAUGGUAAGUGAGAAAGGCAUUGAGCCCAAUCUUGAGAAACCUAGAAGCUACAGGAAAAAGAGCGGCAGUAGGCAAGUUGGCACCGAUCUAGGAGGGCCCAUUCAAAAUAGCAAAGGUGGUCAAGCCAGGGGUAUAUCGAAUUGAAGAUAUGCAGGGAAACCCUGAGCCCCAUGCCUGGAAUAUCCAACACUUGAAAAGGUACUUCCCCUGAGGUAUUAUCAAAUGUAAAAAACCUAUCAUAUUUUAAAGCAUGAUAAUAAAACAGACGUUGAUUACCUUCCCAAUUCAUUAUUUGUCUCUACUCACAUUGCUUUCAUGAAAUAAACAAAAAAGAAAAAAAAAUGAAACAGGUAUAAAUGCCCAAGGCCUCAGGGAGGUAGAAGACCGAGAUCCCCAAGAUCUCCCGGAGCUACAAGUAACCGAACUGAGACAUAGAGACCUCAGGGAGGUGGAAGACCGGGAUCCUCAAGAUCUCCCGGCACCAACAUAAACCAAACUGAGACAUAGAGACCUCAGGGAGGUAGAAGACCGGGAUCCCCAAGAUCUCCCGGAGCUACAAGUAACCGAACUGAGACAUAGAGACCUCAAGGAGGUAGAAGACCAGGAUCCCUAAGAUCUCCCGGCACCAACACCAACCGAACUGAGACAUAGAGACCUCAGGAAGGUAGAAGACCGAGAUCCCCAAGAUCUCCUGGAGGGAAAACGGCCGGAGAGAUUUCCAAGAUCUCCCGGAGCAAAAACGGCCAGUGAGAUCCCCAAGAUCUCCCGGAGCAAACAAAAACAGCGGCAUGCAAUGACAACACGCAAAAAUAACUCAUGAAAACACAGUAAUGGGCCCAGAAUCACCAAUGAAAGACCAGAUCCUGACCUCCCAAAGGAGCUCGGGACCUAAGAGGAAGAGACUCUGAUCUCGCAGCCAAAGGAGGAAAAGUGCCGCGUCGACCUCAAGAAGAUGCUAAAGCUGAAACAGAAGGACUAAAUCCGAACUCGGAUUACAGGCUGGAAAGCCGAUCUAAAACACACAAAUGUAAACUUGGAAAACCAAGCAAAAAGAGAGCUGAGCUCAGAAAGCCCAAAGGCAAACCAAAAGCAACAAAUCUCAUAUGAUCCAAGAGGAAAUUCAGUGGCAUGAGCUGAAGGCCUCAGCCUCAAUUCCUAUCAGAACAGAACUAAAAACAAAAGGCCAGCCCUGCUCAUCACCUUAAAAGGUACAUGAUUUGACUUAUUGUUAUUCUACAAAGGCUAUGUGCCCGAGACCAUAGUAAUAAAGUAAUAAGAGAAAAAUGAGGAUGUCCUUGCAGGAAUCAUGAAAACUCAUAAGUUGAGAGUUCAGCCCACUGUUAAAAACUAAGUUCACGGGUAAGGCUAGUCCAGCUCGAAAAAAGCUUACAGAUAAGAAUGCCUUAGUGAAAUGGAUAAAUUUAUAAGUCAAAAGUUCAGUCAAUUGAUAGAAUUUUAGUUCUGAUGAGCAUGAAGGUAAAAAGGAAAAAACAGUAUAGUGGAUUCCUUAGAGAAAUUACGAAGCACAUAGUUUAAGUGUUUCAUUCUUGACAAGUUAGAUUGUUCAACAGAAUAAGUAGCCCAAUGAAGCUGAAAAAGCAAACAAAGUAAAUGAAAAUGAAAUUUCAUUAAAAGAAAAGUACAUUACAGCCUAUUCUAAUUAUCUACACGGGAUGGAGGGAAAACUGUCCUUAAAGGACUUACACGCCUAGGGGAAUUAUCAUCUACCCUAGCAUCUACACUGUCUACACCUACACUGCUGCUCAUGGGAGGCCCAGCACCUUCCUGCUCAGACCCUCCAGUGCCUACGAAAGGCACGAUCUCCUGCCCCUGAGGACUAGCAUCUUCAUCUUCUAGCUCGGGUUCUGCCCCAGAAGACCCAACUGCGGUGUGAGAGGCCCCUUUGGGCAAGGGCCUGUCGUCCUCCCCGUAAAGCACCUCCUCACCAUCAGAGUCUACCUCUGCAGCUCAGAGUUUAGCUAACGGGGUGGAGGGAGUGUAUCUGGCUAUCCUUAAGCCCCGGUUGUAUCCAGAGAUGAACAUGCGGAAGCUUUUAUUCCAUACGGUUGCCUUCAUCUCGUCAGAAGCUUUAAACUCCACAAGUCGCUCCUCGCAGGCCUCAGCUACCUUGGCUUUAAAUUUAGAAGAACUCUUGUAAUCCUGGAGGCGAGCUUCACAGGCCUGCUCGAUCUCUUUUUUCAGCUCGGGGGACUCCUUAUACUCCAUCAAGCGCCUCUCACACUCCAGUUGAAUCCUGUCUUCAACAAGUCUAGCAUCCUCGAGCAGGGCUGAGCAUCUGUGCUCCAAAGUCUUGACCUCAUGACGGAGCGCUUGAUUGUGACGUUUAGACUCCUCUUUCGCUGAGGCCAGAUCUCUGAUACGGUCAGAACUCUUACUCAGCUCCUGCUCGAGAACCUCAACCCGAGCUAGUGCUCCCUCUAUCUGAAUCUUCACCUUGGCAAGAUGAGCCUGAGCUUCAUCGAAAUUAGCCUUCAGGGCCUCGUACUGACACCGGACCUCGUCCCUCUGGCUCACAGUGUAAUACCCGGCUAGAUUCCGGCAUCGGAAUCUCUACCUUCCGGCGGAAUCUCCGUUGGAAUUUGGAAUUUCGGCGAUGCCAGAGGCUUCUAGAGGGGUAAAAUGUGUUUUCUAAAAGGUUUUUACUGAUUUCAUGAUUUUAAAUGAAAAAGAAUUGAGUUUUGGAAAGAAAAGACCAAGGAGGCAAUUGCCAGGUUCGGCCGCCGAAAGUGAAGUUCGGCCGCCGAACAUGGAAAGGCUUCGGGAGCGCUUUUGGCCUCCGAAAGUCUUGUUUGAACGAGCCAAGGUUCGGCCGCCGAACCUCAAGUUCGGCCGCCGAACAUGCAUGAGUUUAGGGGGCACGUUAGGCUGCCGAAGAUCUUUGAUCAGGCCACCUAUAAAAGGCCCUCAGAUCGGAAAUGGGCGAGUUUUCUCCCCAUUCUCGAGCUCAGGUGAGUUUUUGUCCUCCUUUGGCCGUUUUCAUGCUUUUCUUCAUCUCCUUCAUGUUUUCAUGAGUUUCAUGGUCGUUUUGAAGAGUUUUCAAGCUUGGAUUAAGGUUUGGAGAGCUUGAAGACUUUAAGAGUUUGGGUUCUCCACACCUUAAGCUUUGGGUCGCACCAACCCUCGAUCUUCAAGAGGUAAGUGUAGAUCUUUGCUUUCCUAGUGUCUUUUGAAGUUUUAUGAAGGUUUUAAUGGUUGAGUAUGGGUAGAUAUGCAUGUUUAGGUUUAUGUGGGUUUUAUGCCCAAUGUAUGUUAUAUGAUGCUCAUGUAUGUUUAUAUGAUGUUAUGUUGAAUGUUUAGGCUAGGUUAUGCAUGAGGGAGAGUGUAUGCAUGAGUGGGAAAGAGCAAGUGAGAUUAUGGGUUGUUUUGAUGGUUUUGGCCUAUGUGGGUCAUAAGCUAUCUAUGUAUGUUUUGAUGUGUGUUUUGGAGUUUAAUCAAGCUAUUAAGCUCCUUUGUGCAUGGUUAAGGGUUUAUGCAUGUUUUGGUUAGGUUGGGUGCUUGUUUUGGGGUGUUUGAAAGGUUUGGGAGGUUUGAAUGCAUGAGAAGCUGAGUUCUGCCCUUCUGGGAAGAACUCAGGUUCGGCCGCCGAAAGUGGCUUCGGCCGCCGAACCUGUCUUUGGAUGCAUGGUUUGGCCGCCUAACCUUGCCCCCGAAAGUUGAGUUUUGGCUUGAAAGCAGACUUUCGACCGCCGAAGGGAGGAUUCGGCUGCCGAAAGUGCCUGACUUUCGUCUCUGGAGUGGGACUUUCGGUCGCCGAAGGUGCCCGAGUUUCGUCUCUGGAGGAAGAGUUCGGCCGCCGAAAGUGCCCUGUCCAGCCUUUUCAAGGUUGUUUUCUAUGCAUGUUUAUGUGAUGUUCUAGGGGGUUUUUGGGCAGUUGCUUAUGAGUUGUUAGAGUGUGUUUGGCACCUCAUUCGAGUCCACCUGUGUAGGAUCGAACCCGAGGGAUCGAGGAGGCCAUCAGUAUUAGCAGUUGCAGAGUCAGUCCAGCGUCUGCCAGAGGUGAGUAGAACUAACUAUGCAUGUUUUAAAUUAAUGUUUAAAGGUAAUGAUUGUAUGAGCAUAAUACACGCAUCAUGAAUGCCAUGUGAUACCAGGUUGCUUUACAUUAGAGACACGAAUAUGUUGCAUUGCAUUAUUUAUUGUCAGUGGGGAUUGGACCAAGGUGACAUCAAUAGCCCACGAUCUGUCAUGGCAGUGAAAGUCCUGUGUGAGUUCCUUCGGGAAUCGGGCGCCGACAGAGGGAGUUCUGAGGUCAUGUCUAAUCCGAGAUGUGAAAUGUUUGUACUGUGACACAUAUCAUGAAAGCAUGAAAUGAAUGAAUGAACUGUUUUAUGAUUUCUACUCACUGGGCUCUAGUAGCUCAUCCCAUUUCCCUUAACCCCAGUUUUGCAGGGCCAGAGAUAAGGUUAAGCCAGAGUAAGUCAGAGUAAGCUAUGGGGAAAGAAGAGUGAAGCAUGGGUUGCUGUGUUUUGAUGUAAUAGUAUAGCUUAGUGUAUGUAUAUGGUAAGUAGCUGGAUAUAAAGAGAUGUAUGUCUGUAUGCUUGUAUACUUGAGUAGUAUAGUAGUGGACAUGAUGUAUAUAAAGGAUACGAUAUGAUAAUGUAUGGAAAGUUGGAGGAUUAGAGGUAUAGUAUGUCAUGUGCUGUUUAGAGUUGUGCUUGACCCUAGAGUUGGUUGAUCCCUUGGUUUACAUGAUCUUAAGAAAAUGUUUUGAUGUUAAAAAGGUUAAAGGUUUUAAUGAUGUGAAAUGUUUUAAUGUUAUGAGAUUUGAAUGGCCCGUGAGGGAAGAAAGGGUUUCAAUCCCUUGACCCAAAAGCGGACAUGGUUUUAAAGCAUGCUUGAUGACCCAUCUGGUAUGAGGUUCUAUGUUUCCAUGCAUAGGUCAAGCUGAGGUAAGGAAAGCAAGUUUAAAGGUUUUUCUGAGACACAAGCUUAAUUUUCAAGAAAAGUUUGAUCAUGUAUGGGAUUAUACCAGAGGUUUGCCAUGUCUAGUGGCUUGCUACGGGUCCUGGCGGCCUUAAGCCGAUCUGGAUCCUAGCGCCGGUGGCGGUCCGGAGAUGCGGGCUGUUACACACAGCCUCGUCCUUUUCGCGAAGGGUCUUCACCAUGGAGGACAACUGCUUUAAGACUUCUUCACAGCGGACCUCAGCUGCAGCUGCCCUCUCGUCAGAUUCUUUGAGAACCCUCCAGGCAUGAGACAACUCCACUUUCAGGGACUUGUCAUGCUCAUGGGCCGCGGCUAGAUUGCUCCGGGCAUCGCUAGUUGCCGACAAGUUCUCCUCAAGAUGCGCCUCCUCAAUACAGCAGUCCAUGGAGUCCCUGAGAGCACGAUCCCGGGCAUCCAUCUCCAUAAAAAUGCCUGUUGUCUGGCCAAAGAGAAGAACAAAUAUAAUCAGAAAGAGAACAUGGGUAGAAAUCAAUUAAAACAAAAAAGAAAUGAGGGCGGAAUACCAUCAAGAGCAGCUCCCAGGCAGUGUCCCCAAGCCGAUCUGUGGACUGAGCCCGGAAGGCCACCUGUUCUCGAGUAGAGCUGGCCAAGAGGCCAGAGAGAGCCAGUAGGCGAGGAUCUGAAGCCUCCGCAACUCCACCAAACAUUCGCUCUCGAAUUAUCUCUGUGACCACGCUCGCGGGUGAUUGAUGGGUGAUGUCCUCUGCGUUAAGAAUGUCAUUAUCAGGGGUAGAGAGCAGAGGCACCACCGAGGUCUUCUUCUUCUCGAGCGGAGGCAGAGCUGGGGCAACAUGUCUGGAGGCCCGAGGUCUCUUUGGAACUGGGGCAGGAGCGUCAGAGAGAGAAGGACGCUUGCUCCUAGCCCCCUUUGCCAUGCCCUCCGAGGCAACCAACGACUUCCUCUAAGGGAGAACUUCAUCCGCAGGCUCAGACUCAGCCCUCUCGAUGACAGGAGGGCCCUCAGCAGCAACUUCUUGAUCAUCCUCGUCCACAAGGACAACCUCUACUUCUCCUUUCGGAGCCCUCUCUUCAAUAACGGAGACCUCCAACCUCACCUCGGGAACCUCUUCUUCAGCGAAGGGGGCCUCAAGCCUCACUUCUGGAGCUUCCUCAGAAGGAAAGGCAGGAUCCGACCUCGCCGGCCUAGUGUCUUCUGCCAGCUCAGAAAUGAUCCUGGGAGCCUCUUCCGUCCCCUCCUUAGAGGCACGUCGAGGCCGGGGGGCUUGAGAGGACUGAUGAGCCGAGCUCGAUCUGCUGUGGUGGGAGGGUCGAGACGACCUGCUACGGACCUAGGAGUUUGUGAGGAGACCGGAGGAGGAGGAGGAGGCCGGAUAGCCGACCUGGAAGAUAUAACUUCGGCCACCCUUUGAGCAGCCUCUCCCACUGAUUGCCCGGCCAGGAGGGCGUCCAGAGCUGUGUCCAUGCUCUCCCGGGACAGUAUGAGAUUCUUAGGAGGCUUGAUGUAAUACCCGGCUAGAUUCCGGCAUCGGAAUCCCUAACUUCCGGCGGAGUUUCCGUUGGAAUCUAGAAUUCUGAAGAUGUCAGAGUCUUCUAGAGGGGUAAAUGUGUUUUCUAAAAUGUGUUUUAAGUGUUUUAAUGGUUUUGACUGCAAAGGAUUUGAGUUUGAAGAGAAAAGACCAAGGGGACAUUUGCAAGGUUCGGCCGCCGAAGGUAAAGUUUGGCCGCCGAACAUUGCGUGGUUUCGCCCGCCGAAGGUGAAGUUCGGUCGCCGAACGUUGCAUGGUUUUGCAUGCAGCUUUGGCAGCCGAAGAAAAGGCGGUUGGCCACCUAUAAAAGCCCCGUUGACCGGAAAUGGAGUGUAUUUCACUCUCUUUUCGUGCAAAGGGUAGGCUCAUGCUCUCCUUUGGUUGUUUUCAUGAUGUUUCUUCAAAUCUUUCAAAGUUUUCAUGGGUUUUCUCUUUGUUUUGAAGAGUUGUGAGCUUUGAGCAAGGUUUUGAAGUUUGAAGACUUUGGAGCUUGGAUUCUCCAUAUCUUCAAGUUUGAGGUUGCACCAACUCUUGUUCUUCAAGAGGUAAGUGUAGAUCCUUAGCUUUUAUGAGGUUUUAAAUGAGUUUUAUGAAGGGUUAAGAGGGUUUUAUGCAUGAGUUGCAUGGUAUGCAUGUUUAGGGUUUGGAUACCCUUUUGUGACAAAAGUGUGUUCUUGCAUGAUAUGUGAUGUUUUGUUGGGGGUUUAGGCUAGUUUGAGACCCCUAUAUGCUUGUUGUGUGAGUUAUGCAUGUUUUGGAGAGGUUUAAGGUAUGUUUUGGGUGUUGAAAGGUUUGAGAGGCUUGUAUGCAUGAGAGGCUGAGUUCUGGAUGAACUCAGGUUCGGCCGCCGAAGGUGGUUUCGGCCGCCGAAGGUGGUUUCGGCCGCCGAACAUACCUUUGCAUGCUUGGUUUGGCCGCCUAAUCUUGCCCCCGAAAAUGGACUUUCGGCUCUGGAAGGGACUUUCGGCCGCCGAAGGUGCCGCCGAAAGUACCCGAGUUUCAUCUCUGGAGAGGGGGUUCGGCCGCCGAAUGUGCCGCUGAAGGUGCCCUGUCCAGCUUUUCUUGGCAUGUUUUGCAUGCAUGUUUUGAGGAGUUUUAGAGGGGUUUUUAGGGAGAUGUGUAGUAUUAUGUUAGAGUUGUUUGGUCCCUCAUUUGAGUCCACCUGUGUAGGACCGGACCUGGAGAACCGAGAAGGUCAGCAGAGUUAGUUGGUCCUGAGUUAGCCCAGCAGUUGCUAAAGGUGAGUGGAACUAAACUUAAUAUUUUAAAUUGAGAAAUUAAAUACUUUUAGAGCAUGAUCCAUGCAUCAUAAAAUGCCAUGAUAUGUAUUAGGUUGUCUUGCAUUAGAAGCCACGAAUAUGAUGCAUUGCAUAAAAUGUUGUUGAUGUGGAUGGAUAUUGGAUGAUCCUUAGCUCUUGAUAUGAGAUGAGAUGACAUGAUAUGAGAUAGAAAGACCAGGUCGCCCCUGGCACUAUGUUAUAUGUAUAUGUAAGAGAAGACCAGGUGAGGCCGUAUCGCCCCUGGCGUAGUCGGACAUAUUAUGAUAUGAGUUAUAUAAGAGAAGACCAGUUGAGGCCGUAUCGCCCCUGACGUAGUUGGACAUAUUACGAUAGGUAGAGGGCUAUUGGUGACAAUAUCAUCCUUGAUGUGAUAUGUUUGUGAUGUGAUGCAUUCCAUGAGAGCAUAUGUUUUAAACAAAUUUGUAAUACUAUUCUGCUCACUGGGCUUUAGUAGCUCAUCCCUCUCCCAAAUUUCCAGUUUUGUAGGGCCAGUCAGAGUUAGCACGGGAUAGCAGCUAGGAUGAAGUGUAUGUAACAGUUAGUAGUGGACAUGAUGUAAUCCAAGUGAUGUAAUGUAAAUGAUGUAUAGAUUUGUAAUGUCAUGUAAUGGCUAGAGAUGUGCUUUGCCCUGGUGUGUGAUUAAUCCCUUUGUACAUAGAUCCUGUUUUACGUUUCUUGAUGAGAAAUGUGUUGAACUAAGCCUGAUGUAUGUUAUGCUGACCCUAUGGGUUCUAUGUGUUAGACAUAGUGCAUGCAGGUCAAGCUUGGUAAAUGGAAGGAAAAGUUUUUCAGUUUUUAUAGUUAUGUUUGAUCAUGUAUGGGAUUUAUCAGGUACACAGAGUUCAGGAUAGGCUUGCUACGGGUCUUAGCGGCCUUAAGCCGAUCUGAAUCCUAGCGCCGGUAGCGGUCCGGUUUCCGGAUCGUUACACUUGAUCUUAUCCAUCUUCACCUCGGAGGCUACAAAAUUAAAAAUCAGAGCAAGUCAGAAUAGUUCUCAGCAAAGAUUACGUAAGCAAGAACUAAAGCAGGCAAAUGGGAUAGGAUACCCGCGUCCUUAAUAUCCUGAAGAUUGGACGCAAACAAGCACUUUUUGACGUCAUACUCCUUCUCCACAGAAGUCAGUCGAAGAAAUCCGACCUGGUCGGUAAGGCUCAGUUGGGGCAGGUCGUUGCAACCCAGAGAGACAUCCUCCCAGGGGAGAUAGAGCUCCCAGGCCAACCCUGUUUGCUUCUUUAAUUCUACCACCAGAAACCCCUCUACCUAGCCUUUGAUUGAGUCUUUAUAACCCGUGAAAAUGGACAACCCUCCGUGAGGGGCAAAGUAGUAAAAUUUUUGGCUCGCCUUGACCAGCCUGAAGAAGCUAACUAAUAGAUGAACUGUGGGCGUGAACCCCCAGCUCAGACACACAGAUUCGAAGGAAGACAUGAAAAGAAUAGAGUUAGGGGUUAGCAUUCGAGGGGUGAUCUCGAAAUACCGGAAGACCUUGUUAAAGAACGGAGAAAAGGGGAAAGAUAAACCAUAUUCCCUCUGCUUGAUGAAGAAGACUAGACUAACGUCUCUUUGGGGGUCGACUAGACCAGGAGGAGAAGGAUCAGGAAGAAUGAUCCUCUCAUUCCGGUAAGGAGCCCGGAUGUGAAAAAGAGUGGUAUCCAGGUAUUCCCUGGAGAUGAAACUCCUAAUGUUGGACGGGGUGAUGCUAGACUCUAGGUUGACGACAUCGGGGAGGCUAGAGCUAUCCAUGGCAAAAGAAGAGGCGUACCUGGAGAAUAAAGACAGGAAGGCAAAGGUAGCAAUGUACUCGGGGAACAAAGGAAUGCAAGAACUUGGAGAAGACAGAGGAAAUUUGAAAUCUAAAAUGACAAUAAGGUGAAAGGGUGUUCUGAGGCAAAUCGUACUUAGACGGCGCGGUCAUAAUAAUUCUCGGUAUUUACCCCCUCGCCAGUCGGGUAAUAACUAGCGAGAAGGUAAAGGGGCAAUUGAUGACCGCUGGAUUUCUUCACCCCGGCCUGGGGCCAGGCCCAUGGUACCAGCCCAUUAUUUGGAGGCCUUUAAGUCUCCCGCAUAAAUCAGGUCCGGUCCGCUCAGCUUUAAGACCGGGCUCCAGUUAGCUUCCUCAAUCAGGCCGACUCAGUCCAUACGGCCCAUUAAACAGGUCCUAUCUGGGCUCAGCUUUAAUCUUAUCUUCAGGCUCAGCUCCGAAUCAGGAAGGGGAUCAAUCCAUCUGUCUUGUGGGUCCAUCCGCAUGCACGUCCGGGGGGAAUCAGAGGCCGUUAUGCAUGGGGUAGGGAUCUGAUAUUCUCG
rnacentral:lncRNA from 1 species